GGACUACUGGGGUUUCUAAUCCUGUUUGCUCCCCACGCUGUCGCGCCUCAGCGUCAGUUCGACCCCAGCAGACCGCCUUCGCCACCGGUGUUCUUCCGGAUCUCUACGCAUUCCACCGCUACACCCGGAAUUCCAUCUGCCUCUAGUCGACUCAAGCCUAGCAGUAUCAGUGGCCGACCCGAAGUUGAGCCUCGGGCUUUCACCACUGACUUGCCGGGCCGCCUACGCGCCCUUUACGCCCAGUGAUUCCGGACAACGCUCGCACCCUCCGUAUUACCGCGGCUGCUGGCAC
rnacentral:rRNA from 1 species